rnacentral:rRNA from 1 species
UACAGAGGGUGCAAGCGUUAAUCGGAUUUACUGGGCGUAAAGGGCGCGUAGGUGGUUGUUUAAGUGAGAUGUGAAAUCCCCGGGCUUAACCUGGGAACUGCAUCUUAUACUGGGCAACUGGAGUGCAAUAGAGGGUAGUGGAAUUUCCGGUGUAGCGGUGAAAUGCGUAGAUACUCGGAAGGAACACCAGUGGCGAAGGCGGCUACCUGGAUUGACACUGACACUGAGGCGCGAGAGCGUGGGGAGCAAACAGG